GCCGCCAUGGUGAAAUUGGUAGACACGCUGCUCUUAGGAAGCAGUGCUCAAGCAUCUCGGUUCGA
rnacentral:tRNA from 2 species